AACGGCGAGUGAAGCGGCAAAAGCUCAAAUUUGAAAUCUGGCCCCGUCAGGAGCCCGAGUUGUAAUUUGGAGAGGGACACUUCGGGUGGUGGCUGCGGUGUAAAGUCCCUUGGAACAGGGCGUCAUAGAGGGUGAGAAUCCCGUCUUGCGCCGACAGUCCACGCCCAUGCGAAGUUCCUUCGACGAGUCGAGUUGUUUGGGAAUGCAGCUCUAAGUGGGUGGUAAAUUUCAUCUAAAGCUAAAUAUUGGCCAGAGACCGAUAGCGAACAAGUAGAGUGAUCGAAAGGUUAAAAGCACCUUGAAAAGGGAGUUAAAUAGCACGUGAAAUUGUUGAAAGGGAAGCGCUUGCAACCAGACUCGUCCUCAGGGGCUCAGCCGGCAUGUUUGCCGGUGUACUCCCCUGUGUUCGGGCCAGCAUCAGUUCUGGCGGUCGGUUAAAGACCUCGGGAAUGUGUCGUCCUCCGGGACGUCUUAUAGCCCGGGGUGUAAUGCUGCCAGCCGGGACUGAGGAACGCGCUUCGGCACGGAUGCUGGCAUAAUGGUUGUAAGCGGCCCGUCUUGAAACACGGACCAAGGAGUCUAACAUCCACGCGAGUGUUCGGGUGUCAAACCCGUGCGCGCAGUGAAAGCGAACGGAGGUAGGAGCCCUCACGGGUGCACUAUCGACCGAUCCUGAAGUCUUCGGAUGGAUUUGAGUAAGAGCGUGGCUGUUGGGACCCGAAAGAUGGUGAACUAUGCCUGAAUAGGGUGAAGCCAGAGGAAACUCUGGUGGAGGCUCGCAGCGGUUCUGACGUGCAAAUCGAUCGUCAAAUUU
rnacentral:rRNA from 2 species